CUGACUAUCUCGGCAACCGGCUUCAUUCUUAAUGACCCCAGAGGAAUGGACAUACAGAAAGAGGAAAGCAAAGAAGAAGCAUGGGGACCCAGGGAUUGGAUCUAAAAAUGGAGGUGAUGCACGGAGGAUGGAGCCAGCAAGCACAUGAGAGAAUGAAAAGCCAAGACUGCAAGCUGUGUUUGAAGCUGUAGCUGUCAGAUCUGUCC
rnacentral:lncRNA from 1 species